rnacentral:lncRNA from 1 species
ACCAUGCUCAUCCCUAUUUACAACCCAAGUCAAAAGGUUGAAAAUUAGAUGAUUGUAUAUUGGUGUAAAUUCAAUGGAUUCAUAGUAGAAUCAUGCGGGUAUCAACAAUCAGUAAGUAAGACCAUUGAAAAACAUUCUAGUUCUUGAGACCAUAGGAACUGGGUCAAAGGAUCAUGCGGGUAUCAACACAUGAAUAUUCUCGCUGUAUGAUCAGGCCCGACACAAUUUUUCAGGGUUGUGAUAUAUCCGAUUCGGGUCGUAUUUCCUUGUUCAACCCUUUGUAACCUUGUCUUCUAUCAGACUAUCAGCAUACAUCAAUGCUAUAACAGUCCUAACAU